CGACGUCACACAGUUUGCGGAGAAGCUAGAGCGCGCAAGUACUUCCUCAAUCGAAGGAAUCACAGAACGAGAAACGGGAGGAAGAGACCGAUCACGACAAGCAUACGGUAACAAGAAAAUACAAGUUUUCAAGUCGAGGUGGCGCAGGGACUGGUCACCAUGGCGCCCUUCUUGCGGAUCGGCUUCAACUCCUACGACCUGGGCGUUCUAUCUCCCCUGGCUGACCCCCCCUUCUGUGCCAUCAAGAUGAAGGAGGCCCUCACCACUGAGAGGGGUAAGACCCUGGUCCAGAGGAAGCCCACCAUGUACCCAGCCUGGAAGUCCAGUUUCGACGCCCACAUCUACGAGGGCCGUGUGCUGCAGGUGCUGCUGAUGAGGACGGCAGAGGAGCCUCUGGCUGAGGUCACAGUAGGAGUGUCGGUCCUCGCCGAGCGCUGCAAGAAGGCCAAUGGACGAGCUGAAUUCUGGGUGGAUCUUCAGCCUUCGGGGAAGGUGAUGAUGGCAGUGCAGUACUUCUUGGAAGGAGCUGAUCCAGAGAGUAAGCAGUCUGUGAAGGAGGAGGAAGGACCCACCAUCAACCGGAGACGAGGGGCCAUCAAACAGGCUAAGAUCCACUCCAUUAAGAACCACGAGUUUAUCGCCACCUUCUUCAGACAGCCCACUUUCUGCUCUGUCUGCCGAGAGUUUGUUUGGGGACUCAACAAGCAAGGCUACAAAUGCCGACAAUGCAAUGCAGCCAUCCAUAAGAAAUGUAUAGACAAAAUCAUUGGAAGAUGCACGGGCACAGCGGCCAACAGUCGGGACACUGUGUUCCAGAAGGAGCGCUUCAAGAUCGACAUGCCGCACCGCUUCAAGAACCACAACUACAUGAGCCCCACCUUCUGUGACCACUGUGGGAGCCUUCUGUGGGGCCUGGUCAAACAGGGGCUCAAAUGUGAAGACUGUGCAAUGAAUGUCCAUCACAAGUGUCAGGAUAAAGUAGCCAACCUCUGUGGGAUCAACCAGAAGCUACUAGCUGAAGCUCUGACACAAGUCACCCAGAAAUCCACAAGGCGCUCAGACCCAAACCAGCCAAACCUGCCAGAUAUAGGAGUCUAUGAGGAGGUCUCAAGGAACUUGGUUGCUCUGGAUGUCAACGACGGCACCCCUUAUGGCAGGCUGUGGGAGGGCUCCAGCCCCCUGCCGCCGACUCGUCUCACCCAUCUGACCCACAUGAACGUGGACAACUUCAUCCUACACAAGGUUCUGGGCAAGGGAAGCUUUGGCAAGGUCCUGCUGGCAGAGUUAAAGGGCAGUGGAGAGUACUUUGCAGUCAAAGCUCUGAAGAAAGAUGUGGUUUUGAUGGAUGAUGAUGUGGAGUGCACCAUGGUGGAGAAGAGAGUUUUAGCUCUGGCCUGGGACAACCCCUUCCUCACCCACUUGUUCUCUACCUUCCAGACUAAGGAGCAUCUGUUCUUUGUGAUGGAGUACCUGAAUGGAGGAGACCUGAUGUUUCACAUUCAAGAGAAGGGUCGCUUUGACCUUUACAGAGCCACAUUCUACUCCGCUGAGAUUGUUUGUGGCCUACAGUUUCUACAUUCCAAGGGGAUCAUCUACAGAGAUCUGAAGUUGGAUAAUGUGAUGUUGGAUCAGGAGGGACACAUCAAAAUAGCAGACUUUGGCAUGUGUAAGGAGAACGUGUUUGGAGAAAACAGGGCCACCACUUUCUGUGGGACUCCAGACUACAUCGCUCCGGAGAUCCUGCUUGGACAAAAAUACUCCUUCUCAGUGGACUGGUGGUCUUUCGGAGUGCUGCUCUAUGAGAUGCUGAUUGGCCAGUCACCUUUCCAUGGUGAUGAUGAGGAUGAGCUGUUUGAGUCCAUCAGGAUGGAUACACCCCACUUCCCCCGCUGGAUCACCAAGGAGGCCAAGGACUUGAUGGAAAGGUUGUUUGAGAGGGACCCCACUCGCCGGCUAGGCAUUGUGGGAAAUGUUCGCGUACAGCCCCUGUUCAAAAACAUCGACUGGUCGGCCUUGGAAAGGAGGGAGGUGGAACCCCCCUUUAGACCAAAAGUGAAAGCCCCCAACGACUGCAGCAACUUUGAUCGUGAAUUCCUUAGUGAGAAGCCCCGCCUCUCUCACAGCGACAAAAACUUCAUUGAUUCCAUGGACCAAUCAGCUUUCGCCGGCUUCUCCUUCAUAAACCCUGAGAUGGAGCACCUUCUGGAAAAGUGAGGAGCAGACCUUCAUACCAGUCUCCACCCUGGGCACUGACAUCCCAGAGGUCAAAGGGGAGAGGUGAAACCAGGGUUUAAUUAGUACUGUUUUAGGGUCUGUUCGUCAAGGUGUCUGUUCUGUCACGUGAUCAAACCUGCAAGUGAGUGAGCGGUACCAUGUUCAGUAUUUUGUGUGCCUGUUCUGUAGUUAAGCACAAACAGUCAUUCUCUGGUACUUGUAGAAAUCACAAGAGUAUAACUUACAGGAAUUGUCCUUUGUACAAAUAAAUAGUUUUGUGAUGCAUGCUAGGGAGUCUAGGUGUUUGUGGGCUGUAUGUAGAUGAUUCUAUUAAUUGCCACCCGCAUUUUUGGUCAUUGUUAUGACACUCACCAGUUUGAAGAGCCAACACAAGGAGCCUCCGAUUUUCUCCCAUUCCUUUGCAGUAAAACCCUGCCUAAAAAUAGAACUGAAUUCUGAUUGUUAAGAUGGCUCCUGUUUUGACACCUGGAACCUUAAAUGUGGGAUACACUCAUUGACAACAGUAUAGUACCAUCACAAGGGAUGUCUGGCCCUUCCAGUGAAUGGAGCACUUUAGUGUGUGUGGAUGAAGGUGUUUAGGUUUGUUUGAGUUAUCUGCUUGCAGGUCCAAAGACCUCACACCAACAUUCACCAUCUCUCCUACAAAUGAAUUAUUUGACUGAAUCAUUGCUUUUGGUUAUGUCGCAUGAAGAACCUUUCUCGGUCAAUAAGAAAGAUUUGUAAAAAUGUGUGGUUUACUGGUUUGUGUGCCAUCUAGUUCACUACACAGUGAACAAAAUACAAGCACAGUGGUCUGUCUAGUUAGGUAGGCUAUUAUAUUCCUGUUGUGAAAUAUCUCAUUUAUAGACAUGUAUUAUUUGAAUGAUUUGCGUACUGUUUGCGAUGCUAAACAUUGGAAAGGGACCUAUUGACAUGCUGUAUAGAUAUAUAUGUAUAUUGAUUUAACGUGUAUAUUUUGAUGCGCUUUAAUUAUGUGCUUUUUUACCGUCUCCAUCUUUUACAUCUUAUAAAAAAAAUCAUUCCAA